rnacentral:rRNA from 1 species
CGAAAGAAAGAUUAAUACCCGAUAGUAUAAUGAUUCCGCAUGGUUUCAUUAUUAAAGGAUUCCGGUAAAGGAUGGGGAUGCGUUCCAUUAGGUUGUUGGUGAGGUAACGGCUCACCAAGCCUUCGAUGGAUAGGGGUUCUGAGAGGAAGGUCCCCCACAUUGGAACUGAGACACGGUCCAAACUCCUACGGGAGGCAGCAUG